rnacentral:rRNA from 1 species
AUUGAACGCUGGCGGCAGGCUUAACACAUGCAAGUCGAGCGAGCGGCGGACGGGUGAGUAAUGUCUGGGAAACUGCGUGAUGGAGGGGGAUAACUACUGGAAACGGUAGCUAAUACCGCAUACCAUCAGAUGUGCCCAGAUGGGAUUAGCUAGUAGGUGGGGUAAUGGAUCACCUAGGCGAAGAUCCCUAGCUGGUCCGAGAGGAUGACAGGCAAAACGGGAACUGAGACACGGUCCAGACUCCUACGGGAGGCAGCAGUGGGGAAUAUUGCACAAUGGACGCUAGCCUGAUGGAGCAAUGCCGCGUGUGUGAAGAAGGCCUUCGGAUUGUAAAGCACGUUCAGCGAGGAGGCGUUACUCACAGAAGAAGGACCGGCUAACUCCGGGCCAGCAGCCGCGGUAAUUC